AAAUAAUUUAUACUUUAAUAAUGUUAUAAGUAAUUUAUAUAAUUAUAUAUUUGAAAAUGAGGUUAAUAGCCUUUAUAUAAAUAAAAACCAUAAUUGGUGCAUAUUUAUAAGUAUAUAUAUUUAUGAAUAUACUCCAUAUAUAUAUGACCACAUAUGUAAUGUUAUUAAUGUACAUUUAUCUCUUUUGUUAAUUCCAAUUUGCUUUUAUGAUUUUGAUUACAAGUGGUAUAGAUGUGUUGAAAGUUAUGAAGAGUUAACUAAAUAUUUGACAAAAGAUGACAUAAAUAUUAAUGCUGAUACAAAUAAAGUUAGUAGCACUUCCAACAAUGGUAGAAGCAGCAAUGAAAGUUGUACUGCUUAUACGAAUGUUACGCCACAAAUACAAACUUUGAUUAAAAAUGAAAAAAAAAAUGAACAUGCGGUAUUACAAAACGACGAAUUGCAAAAUAAUAAUGAAUUGACACAAAAUGAUAUAUUAAUACUUGACAGAUAUGAACAAAAUAAAAAUAUAAUAAUAAACCAAUUAAAUAAUAGUUGUUUUGAUUUAUUUGUGGAAAUAAAAAAUAAAAAAUCUUGUGGUCUAUUUAAACGACUAUUGAUAACAUCUAUUCCUUUUCUAAAAACAAUAAAUAUAAAUAAUCAGUAUAUAUAUAUAAUUAAAUUUAUAGAUUAUCUAUAUUUUUUUAAAAAUACUUUAAAUACAAAUGAAAAUAUAUACUAUAAUAUAAUCAAGAAACACAAGCUUUGCAAUUUUAAUAAAUGUACACAAUUUGAAAAUUAUAUUUUAAAUGACACUACUACUAAUACUACUACAACUACCAAUACUAGUAGUAAUAAUAUCAAUGAGCAAAACAUAUUUGAAAUCAAUGAAAAUUCCUAUAUGCUUCUCAACGCAAAUAAUGUCACACUUGACGAAAAUAAAAUAAAAAUGGAUUCGAUAGCUUCCAUUCAAUUUUAUUACAACUGUGUUAUUAAUUACUGUUUAACUUAUUUUAAAACUGAUAUAAUGCGUAUUUAAUAAUUAGCAAUGAUCAAAAUAUAUAUAAAAAAAAAAAAAUAAAAAAAAAAAAUGAAUAGGCA
rnacentral:lncRNA from 1 species